rnacentral:rRNA from 1 species
AUGAAAGCACAAUGGGAUAAUGUGGAAGAAGUGAAUGCCAAUAACCGUGGCAAAGAAGGAACAUUGUCACCACUUGGAUAUGAAAAUGUGGUCAGAAAGUUUUUUGAGCGCACGAGGAGAGAAUAUACCAAAACGCAAUUCAAGAAUAAGUGGGAUGUGCUGAAAAAAGAGUAUGCUGUUUGGAAGACAUUAACCCAAAAGGCAUGA